rnacentral:rRNA from 1 species
AUUGAACGCUGGCGGCAGGCCUAACACAUGCAAGUCGAACGGUAACAGGAAGCAGCUUGCUGCUUCGCUGACGAGUGGCGGACGGGUGAGUAAUGUCUGGGUAGCUGCCUGAUGGAGGGGGAUAACUACUGGAAACGGUAGCUAAUACCGCAAAUUGUCGCAAGACCAAUGAGGGGGACCUUCGGGCCUCUUGCCAUCGGAUUUGCCCAGAUGGGAUUGGCUUGUUGGUGGGGUAACGGCUCACCAAGGCGACGAUCCCUAGCUGGUCUGAGAGGAUGACCGGCCACACUGGAACUGGGCCACGGUCAAGACUCCUACGGGAGGCACCAGUGGGGAAUAUUGCACAAUGGGCGCAAGCCUGAUGCAGCCAUGCCGCGUGUAUGAAAAAGGCCUUCGGGUGGUAAAGUACUUUCAGCGGGGAGAAAAGGAGUAAAGUUAAUACCUUUGCUCAUUGACGGUACCCACAGAAGAAGCACCGGCUAACUCCGUG